GACGAACGCUGGCGGCGUGCUUAACACAUGCAAGUCGAACGGAAAGGCCCCUUUGGGGGUACUCGAGUGGCGAACGGGUGAGUAACACGUGAGUAACCUGCCCUUUACUUCGGGAUAACUUCAGGAAACUGGGGCUAAUACCGGAUAGGAAUCCUUGCUGCAUGGUGGGGGUUGGAAAGCUUCGGCGGUUUUGGAUGGACUCGCGGCUUAUCAGCUUGUUGGUUGGGUAGUGGCUUACCAAGGCUUUGACGGGUAGCCGGCCUGAGAGGGCGACCGGCCACAUUGGGACUGAGAGACGGCCCAGACUCCUACGGGAGGCAGCAGUGGGGAAUAUUGCACCAUGGGCGGAAGCCUGAUGCAGCAACGCCGCGUGCGGGAUGACGGCCUUCGGGUUGUAAACAGCCUUCAGCAGGGGCGAAGCUUGUGGUGACGGUACCUGAAGAAGAAGCACCGGCUAACUACGUG
rnacentral:rRNA from 1 species